GGCAAGCGUUGUUCGGAAUUACUGGGCGUAAAGGGCUCGUAGGUGGCCAACUAAGUCAGACGUGAAAUCCCUCAGCUUAACUGGGGAACUGCGUCUGAUACUGGAUGGCUUGAGUUUGGGAGAGGGAUGCGGAAUUCCAGGUGUAGCGGUGAAAUGCGUAGAUAUCUGGAGGAACACCGGUGGCGAAGGCGGCAUCCUGGACCAAUACUGACACUGAGGAGCGAAAGCCAGGGGAGCAAACGGG
rnacentral:rRNA from 1 species